CAAAGCAUAGCUUAAUUAAAGCAUCCGGUUUACACCCAGAAGAUCUCAACCCCAUUGAUUGCUUUGA
rnacentral:tRNA from 1 species